rnacentral:antisense_RNA from 1 species
UGAACCACCCCAGGCCCUUUGCACCUGCUAUUCCCUCUCCUCAGCAUGCUCUGCCCCAGACAAUUGCAAUGCUAACUUCUUACUUCCUUCAGGUUUCACUCAGAAAUGACUUUCUCAGUGGGGUCUCCCAUGACCAUUUUAUUUAAGAUUUCAACUACUUUGCCAGCAUUUCACUUCUCCUCCCUUGAUCUUUUCUUCCAAGCACUCACUGCCCUCUUGCACACUGUAUCUUUUACUUAUUUAUCUUGUUCAGUUUCUGCCUGCCUCACCACAGUGUACAUUUCACGAGGGCAGGGAUUUUGUCUGUUUUGUUAAUUGCUGUAGCCCUGGCAUCUUGGGCAGUGCCAGCACCUGUUAGCAUUAAAUACAUAUUUACUGAAUGAAUGAGUGGCUUCAUGCUUAAAAGCAAGAAGAGAGACCUUCAUAGAGAAGUAGGAAAAUGAAUUGUUGCACAAAUAAAGGGCCAUGUAAUGUGAGAAAGAGAGCAAGAGAAAGAGCAAACAAUUAAGGAGCAGCAGUGGCUUCCUGCAGGGGAGACCAAUGCCUUCUGUCCUCAGCGGAAACAGCUUGGCAUUCUUCCAAUUGAUGAAUGGCAUGGACCAGGAGCACUAGUUAUCUUCAGCUUCUGAGCAUCCGAAUAAAUAAACAUACAAAUGCAUAACAUAAAAUAAAUUCAAAUUACAAAUGAGAAAACCAAUCUAGGUUACCGGCAAGUCCUAUGACUUGAUGUGGAGGCCUGGAAGUGCAUCCUUGAAUCUUGCAAUGCAGUGAGCCAAGGAGCAAUGAGAGGCCACAUGAAUAACCGGGCCAGUGACAAGACACAUGUCCUCCUCCUUGCUGGUAUACACCAGAAUGCCCUGCAUCCAGCGAAUGCUCAAAAAGUGUUGGUGGAAGUGACAGAAUUCCAUCACCAUUAAACACAACCAGUGUUGCGGUUGACAAUGGCACUGAAGCAGGUGAAAAAUCCAUACAGCAGCUUCUGUCUUUGAAGAGUUUGCAGCCUCUUGAAGAGGGUUUAGAGAUAAAAAAAGGACCCAGGCUGAUAGGGCCGCUACCAUUUGGAAAGUGACAAGAGGAAGAGAGAGAAUGAAACAAAAGUAAGCACGGGCUCUCAGCUUCUACCUGAAGAGACAAACAUUGCUUUCACUUACAUUUCACUGGCCAAAUCAAGCCCAUGGCAACAAUUGAGUUCAAAAGCAUAAGGAGGUAUCUGGAAGGAAGAGAAUCAGAAAAUUUCUGAAGAGCCUCACUGACUACCUUCGGGGCAAAAAGGAAGAGAGGCACUCCAGAUCAGAGAUCUGCAUUGGAAACUCCUUGAGAACCAGAAGGGUAUGCUGUAUUUUUGUAACUGUGAGGAGCCCAGAAAGACUGAAGCCCAAAUAAACUUCCUUUAUUCAAUAUU